rnacentral:lncRNA from 1 species
CAGACAUUGUAUGGAAAAGCAUCGUGAAAAUCCGUCCUGUUCUGUUCCGUUCUGAUUACCAGUGCAUGCAGCCCCCAGUCAUGUACCCACUGCUUGCUCAAUCAUUCACGACCCUCUCACGCGGACACUCUUAGAGUUGUAAGCCCUUAAAAGGGACAGGGAUUGCUUACUUGGGAGCUCAGUUUUUUGAGACGUAACUCUGCCGACGCGCCUGGCCAAAUAAAGCCCUCUCCUUCCUCAACUCGGUGUCUGUGGCUCGUCCUGCUACAAUGCAUCUACCCAUACAGGGCUUCUGAGGUGAUCGGG